UAGGGUGACCAGACGUUCCCGUUUUCAGUGACCUGUCCCCGGUUUUCACUGUGACUCAAAGAUAAAAAAAGAACACGAAAAUGUUGAGCAAACUCUACGUAUAUAUAGUUGUGGACCUCGGCGCAGUGUAUAUAGCUAAGGAACUCCCUUCUCCUUUAUUUUUUUACUUGCAACAAUAAACUAUCAAUCAAUCAACCAAAUAGGGUGAGAGACUUUUGAAUGCUGCUCCAUGAAUGGUACUAAGCCCGGCAGUGUCCCCGUUUUGGUUUUUCAGUGACAAAAACGCUACAUUUGGAAGUUUUUAAGCCUCGGAUCCACCGAAAAUGUCCCCGGAUUUUGUCUCAGAAAGGUCACCUUAAUUAAGCUUAGUCCAUCCUCGCACUACAACGUUGAUGAAGAAAAAAUUGGUCCAGUCUACUACUACUACUACUACUACUACGAGAAAGAAAUAGACAAGAGAGAGAGAGAGAGAGAGAGAGAGAGAGAGAGAGAGAGAGAGAGAGAGGAGGAGAAAAUUAUUAAUAUUUUGACCUUCCCCGCUCUGUCUCGCUUCUCAUAUCCUUCUGCACACUUUUGUACACUUUUCCACACUUACCCACGUCACCCUGCACACUUAAACACGUUAUUAUGCCCCGAGUUCAAGUGUUCUGAAGACUUUACUGAUGCAAACUUUCCCUUCGGGUAUCGUUUUCUUCUUUCGUUAAUACUUAAUAGCAUACCCUGAUCUUAUUCGUCUCCCCUUAUCCGUUAUUUUGAGCGUGUUUUUACCAGUGAACUUGCUCUAUUUAUCCGUCGUCAAGUUCUAAGGUUGUCGUGUAUUAAAGUUCCAACACUAUGAUGACGUCACGGCCUCCAUUUUCCCUGUCGUCUGUGAAGGCUGCCGAGACAGCGCUGUAUUUUUCUUGUUUUUUUAGGUUAUUAUAAAGUGCCCGGAAGCGCCAUGCUGUGGGAAGCUUUGAGGGUCAGGGUGGACCACUGGCCGCCACCUCCUCCUUGCCCUCAUGCUAAACCUUUACUACUGUUCCUAUAGGUAAUGCUCUCUCUCUCUCUCUCUCUCUCUCUCUCUCUCUCUCUCUCUCUCUC